GAGUAGCCAUUCUGCUGUGAAUAGCACACAGACGAAGCGCUGGGGCUUUAUCGGUGAGGAAUCGAUAUCAAGAGAUUUCGGAGGAACAAGUUUUGUUUCUUGGAGCUGCUGCUGAUCGUUUGUCUCGGUGCUCCA